GGCCGUCUAGCUCAGUUGGUUAGAGCGUCGUGCUAAUAUCCUUCUGGUCAUAGAAAUGUUAACGCGAAGGUCUUGGGUUCGACCCCCACGAUGGCCA